rnacentral:SRP_RNA from 1 species
GCUGGGCAAGGUGGCUUGUGCCUGUAAUCCAAGCACCAGAGAGGCUCAGACUGGUGGAUUGGCUCAAGCCUGGGGUUUCUGGGCUGCAAUAGAUGUCUGUGCUGAAGCUGGCAUCAGUAUGGUGGUCCUGGGGGAACCAGGGACCAUCAGGUCAGCUAUGGAGGGGUGAACUGGCCCAGGCUGGAGAUGGAGCAGGUCAACACUCCUGUGCUUAUCAGUAUCUGUGAACUGUCCCUGUAGCAGAGCCCAGGUGGGAGAGCAGGACCAAUUUUCUU